GCCGCGGUAAUUCCAGCUCCAAUAGCGUAUAUUAAAGUUGUUGCAGUUAAAAAGCUCGUAGUUGAAUUUCGGGGUUCUACCGUUGGUCGGGCAAUAGUCUGUACUGGCGUGUAGAAUUUCUACCUUCUGGGGAACCAUCAUGUUAUUUAUUUAGCGUGGUGGGAAACCAGGACCUUUACCUUGAAAAAAUUAGAGUGUUCAAAGCAGGCUUACGUCUGAAUACAUUAGCAUGGAAUAAUAAAAUAGGACGGUGGUCCUGUUUUGUUGGUUUCUGAAUCACCGUAAUGAUUAAUAGGGAUAGUUGGGGGCAUUAGUAUUCAAUUGUCAGAGGUGAAAUUCUUGGAUUUAUUGAAGACUAACUUCUGCGAAAGCAUUUGCCAAGGAUGUUUUCAUUAAUCAAGAACGAAAGUUAGGGGAUCGAAGACGAUCAGAUACCGUCGUAGUCUUAACCAUAAACUAUGCCGACUAGGGAUCGGACGAUGUUAAUGC
rnacentral:rRNA from 1 species